rnacentral:lncRNA from 1 species
CCAGCCUGCAUUUUCUAUCGUUUUCGUGACUCCAGUUGUUGGACGAUGAAAUUCAGGAGGGAGGGAUGAGAUAUCUCCAGAGGCUUAGUUUAACAUCAUCAAAGCCUCUUCCCUCCCCCUUGCACAUUACAGUAUCUGCUUUACUAAUCAGAGGGAAAUUUAUCAUGUAGGAUUUAGGGGAGAUAUUUAUGGUGCCUGUAAGCACAAUGGCUUUGCCUUGUAUGAUGUCAGCUAUUCUCCUGAGGAGAUACAAGACCACAGCUGGUGAGAGAACAGACCGGGGACCAUUUCACGAUUUUAAAACUGAAGACCUUGUUGAAGAAGAGGGAGUUUAAAUAACAUUUGCUUUUGUUUUGUUCUUUAUAUGAUGAGCAGGUGUGGGAGUCAAUUCGAGAGGGCCGCUUAGAAGAUCGUGGAAAGAGGGAGUGAGACACAUCGUCCCUUUAGGUCCUCACAGCAGUUGUUUAAAAACCUGACCGAUAAGGAAGGUGAAACUCAGGGGGAUUGUUACUUGCCUGGUGAGGUAAACAUUAUUUAUUUUCGUGGCCAGUGUCUGAAUUUCUUUCUUUCUAUUAUUUUUGGGAAUUGCUCACUGUUUGUCGGUCUGUUUGUUUGUUUUUUAAGUUUAUUUAUUUUGAGAGACAGAGAGAGAGUGCAAGCAGGGGGAGGGGCAAAGAGAGGGGAGAAAGAGAGACUCCCAAGUAGGACCCACACUGUCAGCACAGAGCCUGACUCGGGGCGAGAUCCCACAAACCCUGAACUCAUGACCUGAGCUGAAGUCCACAGCCGUUGCUCAACCAGCUGAACCACCCAAGGGCCCUGGGAAUUGC